rnacentral:rRNA from 1 species
UUCUGUAAGCCUGCGAAGGUGGCCUGUGAGGGUUGCUGGAGGUAUCAGAAGUGCGAAUGCUGACAUAAGUAACGAUAAAGCGGGUGAAAAGCCCGCUCGCCGGAAGACCAAGGGUUCCUGUCCAACGUUAAUCGGGGCAGGGUGAGUCGACCCCUAAGGCGAGGCCGAAAGGCGUAGUCGAUGGGAAACGGGUUAAUAUUCCCGUACUUGGUGUUACUGCGAAGGGGGGACGGAGAAGGCUAUGUUGGCCGGGCGACGGUUGUCCCGGUUUAAGCGUGUAGGUGUGUGUUCCAGGUAAAUCCGGUUCACUUUAACACUGAGGCGUGAUGACGAGGCACUACGGUGCUGAAGCAACAAAUGCCCUGCUUCCAGGAAAAGCCUCUAAGCAUCAGGUAACAUCAAAUCGUACCCCAAACCGACACAGGUGGUCAGGUAGAGAAUACCAAGGCGCUUGAGAGAACUCGGGUGAAGGAACUAGGCAAAAUGGUGCCGUAACU